rnacentral:rRNA from 1 species
GAUGAACGCUGGCGGCGUGCCUAACACAUGCAAGUCGAGCGCGAUUAAGUGGAGUGAGGACUUCGGUCUAAGUGAAGCUUAUGAAAGCGGCGGACGGGUGAGUAACGCGUGGGUAACCUGCCCCAUACAAAGGGAUAGCCACUGGAAACGGUGAUUAAUACCUUAUAAGUCGGUAGUCUCGCAUGAGACAGCCGACAAAGAUUUAUCGGUAUGGGAUGGACCCGCGUCUGAUUAGCUAGUUGGUGAGGUAACGGCUCACCAAGGCGACGAUCAGUAGCCGACCUGAGAGGGUGAUCGGCCACACUGGAACUGAGACACGGUCCAGACUCCUACGGGAGGCAGCAGUGGGGAAUAUUGCACAAUGGGCGCAAGCCUGAUGCAGCAACGCCGCGUGAGUGAUGAAGGCUUUCGGGUCGUAAACUACUGUCUUAUGGGAGAAAAAAUAGACGGUACCAUAGAGGAAGCCCGGCGUAACUAACGUGCCAGCAGCCG